rnacentral:rRNA from 1 species
CUACGGGAGGCACCAGUGAGGAAUAUUGCACAAUGGGGGAAACCCUGAUGCAGCAACGCCGCGUGGAGGAUGACGCAUUUCGGUGUGUAAACUCCUUUUAUGAGUCAAGAAAAUGACGGUAGCUCAUGAAUAAGCACCGGCUAACUCCGUGCCAGCAGCCGCGGUAAUACGGAGGGUGCAAGCGUUACUCGGAAUCACUGGGCGUAAAGGACGCGUAGGCGGGAUGUCAAGUCAGGUGUGAAAUCCUAUGGCUCAACCAUAGAACUGCACUUGAAACUGGCAACCUAGAGUAUGGGAGGGGGAGAUGGAAUUAGUGGUGUAGGGGUAAAAUCCGUAGAUAUCACUAGGAAUACCGAAAGCGAAGGCGAUCUCCUGGAACAUUACUGACGCUAAGGCGUGAAAGCGUGGGGAGCAAACAGGAUUAGAUACCCUUGUAGUC